rnacentral:rRNA from 1 species
GUCGAGCGCUCUCAAGCUAUGUAGAGAGCGCGGCGAACGGCUCCGUAACACGUAGUUAACCUACCCUCGGGAUGGGGAUAACCCCGGGAAACUGGGAUUAAUACCCACUAGAUGAUUAUACCUGGAAUGGCUUAUCAUCGAAAGAGUCUGGAAACAUGCUUCCAGCGUCGCCCGAGGAUGGGACCGCGUCCGAUCAGGUUGUUGGUGGGGUAACGGCCUACCAAGCCUAUAACCGGUACGGGCCCUGAGAGGGGUAGCCCGGAGAUGGAAACUGAGAAAAGGUUCCAGGCCCUACGGGGUGCAGCAGGCGCGAAACCUCCACAAUGCGCGAAAGCGUGAUGGGGUUAUCCCGAGUGCCGUCCGAUGAGGAUGGCUUUUCAUUGGUGUAAGGAUCCGAUGGAAUAAAGGGGGGGCAAGACUGGUGUCAGCCGCCGCGGUAAUACCAGCCCCCUGAGUGGUAAGGACGAUUAUUUGGCCUAAAGCGUUCGUAGCCGGCUUAUCAAGUCUUUUGUUAAAUCCAACGAUUCAAUCGUUGGGCCGCAAAAGAUACUGUUAUGCUAGAGGACGGGAGAGGUCGACGGUAGUCCAGGGGUAGGGGUGAAAUCCUAUAAUCCUUGGAGGACCACCAGUGGCGAAGGCGGUCGACUAGAACGUGCCUGACGGUGAGGGACGAAAGCUGGGGGAGCGAACCGGAUUAGAUACCCGGGUAGUCCCAGCCGUAAACGAUGCGGG